UAAAAGUUUUAUUUUAGCUUAUUAGUUUGUUAUUAGUUUAAUUUAUAUGUAAAUUUUUGUGUGAAUAUUAGUUUAUUUUAAUAAUAGUUAUUUAUUUAUAUUUACAAUAAUUAAUAUUAUUAGUUAAAGAAAUUUAGAAAUAGUAAUAUUAUUAAGUACUGAUAUAGUUUGUGCCAGCAAUCGCGGUUAUACAAAUAGUACAAAUUAAUUUUUUUUUUGGAAGUUAGGUUGUUAAUUGAUUAUGUAGGAGAUAUAAAUUUAAUAGGUGAAAUUUUUAAAUUUUAAAUAUUUUUUUUUAUAAUUGAGGCUUUAAAUUUUUAAUAGUAAACUAGGAUUAGAUACCCUAUUAUUUUAAAUAUAAAAUUAAACUAUUAGGUAGUAUUAGUUAUGUUCUUUAAACUUAAAAAAUUUGGUAGUAUUUUAUUCUAUUCAGAGGAACCUGUUUUAUAAUCGAUAGUCCACGAUGAACCUUACUUAGAUUAUUUGUUUAUAUACCGUUGUUAUUAGAAUAUUUUAAAAGAAUGUUAAUUUUCAUAAUUUUAAAAAAUAAAACAUAUCAGAUCAAGGUGUAGCUUAUAUUUAAGUAAAAAUAGGUUACAAUAAAGUUAUUUAAAUGAAUAUAAAUUUGAAAUAUUUAUUGAAGGUGGAUUUGUUAGUAAAAUUAUAUAGAUUAAUAAUUUGAUUUUAGUUCUAAAAUGUGCACAUAUCGCCCGUCACUCUUAUUAUUAAGAUAAGAUAAGUCGUAACAUAGUAGAUGUACUGGAAAGUGUCUCUAGAAUACA
rnacentral:ncRNA from 1 species